rnacentral:sRNA from 1 species
CAUCUCUACUUCUCUCAUUGAAGGCCGUUCUCCUCCUUUCAAUUUAGUACACAGUGCAGCUACUUCAUGGACUUCUCCAUCUUCCUCCUCCUUGACUUGAGGAUCUAUUAUGUUAAUAAGGUUUCCUUCUGAGAGCAGCAAAAUAAAAUGUGAAACAAGGCCAUCACCAUCGAACGUGUCAACAACAGGUUUCUUUCGAGUAAGCAACUCCACAAGAAGAACUCCAAAACUAAAAACAUCGCUCUUGUCAGUUAGUCGACCAAUAUAAUAGUACAUGGGAUCUAAGUAGCCAAUUGUUCCUUGAACAGUUGUAGUUAUUUCAGAUCGAUCUAUCGGGGUGUACUUUGAAGCCCCAAAAUCUGAUACCUUCGCUGUUAAACUAUCAUCAAGAAGUAUAUUGGAGGACUUAAUAUCUCUAUGAUAAAUUGGCAUUGAAGAAGCUGAGUGUAGAUAGGACAA